GAUGAACGCUGGCGGCGUGCCUAAUACAUGCAAGUCGAGCGAACAGACGAGGAGCUUGCUCCUCUGACGUUAGCGGCGGACGGGUGAGUAACACGUGGAUAACCUACCUAUAAGACUGGGAUAACUUCGGGAAACCGGAGCUAAUACCGGAUAAUAUAUUGAACCGCAUGGUUCAAUAGUGAAAGACGGUUUUGCUGUCACUUAUAGAUGGAUCCGCGCCGCAUUAGCUAGUUGGUAAGGUAACGGCUUACCAAGGCGACGAUGCGUAGCCGACCUGGGAGGGUGAUCGGCCACACUGGAAGUGAGACACGGUCCAGACUCCUACGGGAGGCAGCAGUAGGGAAUCUUCCGCAAUGGGCGAAAGCCUGACGGAGCAACGCCGCGUGAGUGAUGAAGGUCUUCGGAUCGUAAAACGCUGUUAUUAGUGAAGAACAAAUGUGUAAGUAACUAUGCACGUCUUGACGGUACCUAAUCAGAAAGCCACGGCUAACUACGUG
rnacentral:rRNA from 1 species